UACGUAGGGUGCAAGCGUUAAUCGGAAUUACUGGGCGUAAAGCGUGCGCAGGCGGCUUUGCAAGACAGAUGUGAAAUCCCCGGGCUCAACCUGGGAAUGGCAUUGGAUACUGGCUCGCUAGAGUGCGGUAGAGGGUGGUGGAAUUCCCGGUGUAGCAGUGAAAUGCGUAGAGAUCGGGAGGAACAUCUGUGGCGAAGGCGGCCACCUGGACCAACACUGACACUGAGGCACGAAAGCGUGGGGAGCAAACAGG
rnacentral:rRNA from 1 species